rnacentral:rRNA from 1 species
CGCGGUUACACGAUAGACCUAAGAUAAUAUACCACGGCGCAAAGCACGACUAGAACAAGUUUUCACACCUAAGGAUAAAGCUCACCCAGCUGUAAAACGCCAAAGUACAACUAAAACCCACAUCCUUAACCACCUAAACCUUUUUAACUCGUGAAAACCAGGACACAAACUAGGAUUAGAUACCCUACUAUGCCCGGAUGUAACACAGCAACACCCUGCUCGCCAAAUAACUACGAGUGAAAACUUAAAACUUAAAGGACUUGACGGUACUUCACACCCAACCUAGAGGAGCCUGUCUAUUAACCGAUAAUCCACGAUUAACCCGACCGCUUCUAGCCACCCAGCCUAUAUACCACCGUCGCCAGCCUACCUUGUAAAAGAAACAAAGUAAGCUAAACAGUACUACACUAACACGACAGGUCAAGGUGUAACUAAUGAAACGGAUUAAGAUGGGCUACAUUCUCUAACCCAGAUUACACGAACAAGAUUAUGAAACUAAUCUUUAAAGGCGGAUUUAGCAGUAAGCUGAGAACAAAAUACUCACCUGAAACCAAUGCAAUGAAGUGCGUACACAUCGCCCG